UGGUACUGUAGUCACCUUGAGAUGUCACAUUUUUUUCAAUUUCUAUUAGCAAGUCUUUAUAUUUACUGAUCUUGUCAAAUUCUUUCGCCGCUAUAUUGUCAUCGCAAAGAAUACUCAUGUCAGUUAAUCAACACACCUUUUUUGUCUGAUCUAUUAUUAUUAUAUUCGGUAUAUUAGA